GAUGAAGAACGCAGCGAAAUGCGAUAAGUAGUGUGAAUUGCAGAAUUCAGUGAAUCAUCGAAUCUUUGAACGCGCAUUGCGUCCCUUGGUAUUCCAUGGGGCAUGCCUGUUCGAGCGUCAUUUGUACCUUCAAGCUUUGCUUGGUGUUGGGUGUUUGUCCUGAGGGACUCGCCUUAAAGUAAUUGGCAGCCAGUGUUUGGUUUUGAAGCGCAGCACAAGUCGCGAUUCAAGGCUAUACACCAGCUUCCACAAGCCUUUUUCACUUUUGACCUCGGAUCAGGUAGGGAUACCCGCUGAACUUAAGCAUAUCAAUAAGCGGAGGA
rnacentral:misc_RNA from 1 species